rnacentral:rRNA from 1 species
UUGCUUUCUUUGCUGGCGACCGGCGCACGGGUGAGUAACACGUAUCCAACCUGCCCUUUACUCGGGGAUAGCCUUUCGAAAGAAAGAUUAAUACCCGAUAGCGUAAUGAUUCCGCAUGGUUUCAUUAUUAAAGGAUUCCGGUAAAGGAUGGGGAUGCGUUCCAUUAGGUUGUUGGUGAGGUAACGGCCCACCAAGCCUUCGAUGGAUAGGGGUUCUGAGAGGAAGGUCCCCCACAUUGGAACUGAGACACGGUCCAA